UGCGAAGAAACGAGACAAAAUUGUACGAAGGACGAGCAGGUCAGAUAACCGGAGUACUUGGUUAGCAACACGAUCGUACGACUAUUACGAGAACGAUAACAAGCACGUAUGCGCCCGCCUCGGUAUCUGGGGUUAUCGUUUUCCUUUUUUCUUUCUUUCUGGGGCCAGCAGUGGAGGGGAGUGUUAACUGCCAAGGAUCAGAGCGGACCACGGGUCAUCGGAACAACUGUCGGACCAUCUCGAGACAGUAUCCAUUCAAAUUUCAUUUCUUUACAUCGAAAUACCUUUAAAUAUCCGUAGUAUUCGUUCUUACUUAGAAACAUGUACGGGCCUGUAUCCAAUCGACCGACCAUCGAACACUUGCUACGAAACACUCAACACUUGUACAUUUGUCGCGACUAUACUCGUUUAAAUCUAUACCAAUUAUUCGCCAACGACUCGAACGAAGGACCGAAUGAACGAUAAAGUUCGCCACAUCGAGGGUCUCCGUAUCCGCUGACGUCACGUCGACCCGACGACCUCACCGAACUUUGCGCCACAUUAACAUGCCGAUUUACAAGCGUUUAUGUGCGUUCGAUUUCCGCUCGAAGGAACAUUCAGAAUCAAAUGACGGCGUCACCUAAGAAACGUCGCUUGGUAACCAGCAUCAUCCGACACGCUGCAUCGACCAGAUCCGUUUGAAACAUUUCGAUUUUAAUUACGAUACACAGCUGUACGACGAUGAUCCGCAGGAAUUGGUCUCUAUCUCGAUCAUUCUCACAGGGUAAUGUCUGCGUUGACAAGUGGUCUUAAUUAAACGGAUUAAAAUACGAUCCAUCGUUGAUUCGUUUAUCGAAAACUAUCAUUAAAACUGCCUUUAUCUCAUGACAAUCGAUCGUUUCGAUUACGAAAACUAUAGUUCAAUUACUUGGAAAUGAUAAACUGAAACUGCACGGAUCGAGGCAGAUGUAAAUCCGCUGUUGCGUAAGGACGAUGCCCAAAGAGCCACUUGGGAGAGAGUGACAGUUAGAGUGCAUAGAGGUUAGAGGAAUAUAUAAAUUAAAAAAUAAAUAAGUCUAUUAUAUUUCAACGAAAAUCUUGUUAUUUUAUAAACAAUAAUGGUACAUCAAAGCAUCAGGACGCGUUAGAAAACGAUUAAUUCAACUUUAUUUUCUAACGUUUCGAAAUUCUCAAUUUAAAAAUUAUUCAUAAUAUCGUAGUUGUACCAGUGCUACUAUCGUACGGUAGCUCAGCGCAACUAGAACAUUACGUUAUAGUCGGUCGGUAAGUUCCUCGGUUGAUCAUAACCUAUAUGUUGAUUUCCGAAUGUAACGCGUAGAAAACAACAGUAACACUAACAUGUUACUCAUAGUUCAUAAAUCGUAUAGAUGAUUUCAACGUACGUUUAUUUACAUUUCCUUUCAGCGAUCCGCAAUGGCAAAGCACUCGAGGCUAAUUCAUACGCUUCCAUUAGAGAGUCUUUAUAAUCUACUCCUUUGAAUACAGUCUGCAAUAAAGGUUUCAGUGAAUAUCUACGUUUUUUGUAAUACAUGAAAGUGUCAACACUGUCGCAAAUGAUUCCAGGCCACCAUGGAUAACGAGGUACACGAGCCCACACAAUACUCCCAGCGUUGUAAUCAUUUUCUAUCAACGACCACUAUUCAUCUUGCAAUACCAUAUCUUGGGUAUAUCCAAUGGAUCGUGGCAAUCUUCUAUGUAUCUCCAUUUCUUGCAACUUGUUUUACAACACUCAACCCAUAUACCAACUUCUCUUUGAGACUGUAACCAGUACAAUCUCUGUUUCCAAUCUAAAUAGCUGUGGUUCUCCGACUCCACUAUGGUGUUUGAACUAGACACUAAAAAAUCUACCUUCUUCAACUGUUUUUUAUUCUUUACUGGCGCCCUCGGUGCUGCAACCGUUUUUAUUUCCAUCGGUGGCGUCUUAAAAAAUGACGAAUCAUUCGCGGAAGACUCGAACGAGUCUUUAUUAAAUAAAUUGAACUGGAAACAAUAAACGCAAAUGUACAUCGAUUCCUAAAACUUUAAUAAAUUUACGAGAAUUACGUUAAACUCGACAAUUUUUAUUUUGGUUCUUUCAUGAUACCUGUGAGAACAAAUUUCUGGAUACAUUACACAAUUCCACUCGUCCGAAUUGUGAUUUUGUA